rnacentral:tRNA from 1 species
GCGCACGUGGCGGAAUUGGUAGACGCGUUAGGUUGAGGGCCUAAUGAACAUUAUGUUCGUGGAAGUUCGAGUCUUCUCGUGCGCAC